rnacentral:lncRNA from 1 species
UGCCUCCCGGGUUCAAGCAAUUCUCCUGCCUCAGCCUCCUGAGAAGCUGGGGAUUACAGGCGUGCGCCACCAUCCCCGGCUAAUUUUUGUAUUUUUAGUAGAGACAGGGUUUCACCAUGUUGGCCAGGCUGGCCUCAAACUCCUGACCUCAGGUGAUCCACCCGCCUCAGCCUCCCAAAGUGCUGGGAUUACAGGUGUGAGCAACCACACCGGCCCCAGAGUCUGACUCUUUUUGAUAACAAAGCAAAUGAGGAGGCCCAGUGGCCAGGGGCUAUGGC